UCGGCCUCCUCUGACUCUCCCUGGUUUGGUCUGGCCACCUACGCCUGGUCUGGGUAUGUGAUAGAGUGUCCCAACUGUGGGGUGAUCUACAGAAGCAGGCAGUACUGGUACGGGAACCAGGACCCGGUGGACACGGUGGUCAGAACUGAAAUAGAACACAUCUGGCCUGGGUCGGAUGGUUUUCUGAAGGACAACAACAA